rnacentral:rRNA from 1 species
ACGGAGGGUGCAAGCGUUAAUCGGAAUUACUGGGCGUAAAGCGCGCGUAGGUGGUUGUAUAAGCUAGAUGUGAAAGCCCCGGGCUUAACCUGGGAACUGCAUUUAGAACUGUGCAGCUAGAGUACAGCAGAGGAUAGUGGAAUUUCAGGUGUAGCGGUGAAAUGCGUAGAGAUCUGAAGGAACAUCAGUGGCGAAGGCGACUGUCUGGGCUGAUACUGACACUGAGGUGCGAAAGCGUGGGGAGCAAACAGG